UUGAACUGGGGAGCUCCAGGUCCAGUGAGAACCUGCCUCAAAAAAUCAAGCUGGAGAGGAAGACUGAGGAAGACAUUUGUCACUAGCCUCAGUCUGCCCCCACCACACACACACACACACACACACACACACACACACACACACACCUCUAACAUGUUUGUGUACAUGGAACAUGAAAUCACAUAUGUAUCACAUAUACAUGAAUUUUUAAAAAAUGCUACUGAAAUAUGAUAUCUAGAUUCAGCAAUCAAAUUCCCAUGAACAAUACAAAAAAUGUCUAUCAUACACCUCAAUUAAGAAGGUUUUCUGCUUUAUCAAGAUCAGGUAUAUUUAUAUUGUUGCCUCCAGGAGGUCACAUUAUGUUCUGCAUCAUACGUGGACUUAACCAAGCAGUUUCCGCAAUGAAAACAGAGGACAAAUGUUUAAACCUUUGGAUACGGUCACCGCCUUUUGAGGAGAAAAUGGACGAGAAAGAGAUAGGAAGAGCCAAUGUGUAGAUAUUUGCUCACUGCUGUACAUUUUCCCAAAGGCACAUGCAACUGCGUGUUUAACUGGGGAUGACUCCUAAAAGGAACCACCAGCGCCACUCUCUUAAGACCCCAGAUGACACGGUGCUCAUGAUUAUCACGCCUGUGUCUGACCGCAAACCCCUGUAGUCAGCUAUGGAAGACUAAAACGGUACAGCUGUCUUUCAGAUCUGUCCUCUUUUGCCUCUUGACCUGCUGGUAAGGUUCAGACCCAAGAAACCUUGCAAGGCUUCCUGUCCUCUACACGUCUAUGGGUAGAUAUGUCCAGGACAUAAACUUAGCAGUUCCUCUAACUCCAGUGAGACUGCCUUCGUUGUGUCCCCAUUGGCCUAUGGGAGCAAACUCAAGCUACCUAUCUUGGCAUCCUGAAAGUAAAGAUUCCUUUGAGCUAUCACUUUUGAUUAGAAGGAAUUAAGUCCAAUUACAUAGAUAAUGUAAGAGUUAUUUGUACGAGCCACGAAGUGGAGAGGGAAUACAAAUAAAAGAGGGAGGCAGAAACUUCCGGGUUCUGGGAUUAAUAGUUAAAAACUGGGACUUUCCAUAAAUCAAUGGCAGUGGUGACUACAGGCCUCAUCAUCCAGGUUUCCACCUGUGGGUUAGAGCCCUCUUCCUCUUCCAUGUCUUUUUCUUUAUCUCCAAUCCCUUCUUUUGCUCAUAGCAGAGAAUGCUCUGAAGACAAAUGCCCCUAGAUAAGCACAUUUAAAUCAGGACACAGGGUACAGUUUUAAAAUCAUGACUCUUUUCGACCAGUGAGGUUUCAUUUAUUGUUGAGUAAAUUUCAUGAGGUUUUUUUUUUUGAAAACUAGUUUCCUCCAUUGACAAACUCCUGAGGUGUAAAUAAGAAGACACAAAUAUUUGCUUAGACUGUCAGAAACAAAAGGCCAGCCACAUGACUGCUUUCUGGUUGUGAAAUUGGUCUGAGGCGUAAGGAGCACAUUACUUUCUUCAGUGAUAGUUGUUAGACAUUACCCAGAGAACUUUAGAAAUAGGUCACUGUUACACAGUGCUCUCAACAGCCUAGUGGAAUAAUGACAUGAAAUGAGGAUUUGGGGGAGGAAAUGCUGAUAACUUGCAAGAAUGAGUUUUGCUGCUCCCCACCCUCCCAACCUCAGUGUGGAGACGUGAGCUUCCUUUGGGAUUGCUUCCACCGUCUGGUGCAGCACUCACUUUGACUAUCAUAAUACAAGCUUCAUUAGACAAGUAAGACGCAAUUGUCUCCGUGAGAUCAAAGGACAAUCUAUUAAAUACAGCAAGUAGAACUCUAGACUGAAAGACUAUGAAAAGUUAGAAUUUUACGGUGAAUCAGAAUGUAAAUUGUGCUAGCAUACUGUGGCCAAAUGCAGAACUGAAGAUUAGCUUUAUUAAGGGGAAAUUGACAGUGGGCUUGAAUGAUGUGGAAAAUGCAAGAAGGUACGUGAAUUCAAAACAACUGCUUUAUGUACUACAUUAAACUGAGUGUGAUGCUGGGGAAUUCAGAAGCACUGCUGGCUUACUAUGAAAUUGUUAAGAAAUAUAGAACCAAAAAAUAAUAGGUACCCUGGUGUUUACAGCAAACACCAUUUUUAUAAAUUCAAGGAUGCUGAAUUCUUUUUAUGUUAAAAGAAAAAGAAAAAAAAAAAAGCCCGAUCUCAAAUGUUUUCAUCUGGGAGAAAUUAGGACACAUUGUAUACUGGCCAUUUUCUCCAAAUAUCUGUUUGAGUUUUCCUCCUCAUGAGUGAAACUGAGAACUUAAUCCUAGUUGCUUUAAAUCAAAGAUUAUUAGAAAUUCUGAAAGCUACAGCCUUUGUCUGCCUGGAAGGAGAGGGAGACAGGAGACAGGUAAACCAAACCCUCUGUGCUCUCUACGGAGUCCAAAUUUGACUUUGCUUCAAAUGAAGGUAGCAUGUAUAUUUCAUUGCAUUAUGUCACUUAAGUCAUUUACAAAAUUCUGUAAAAUUGCCCUGAAAUCACAUCAAGCACAACAAUGUACCAUGAAACCAAAGAAAAUAUUUCAUAGAUCCACAUUUCAUUUUUGAGAAUGUUACCAUGGAGUCAGGGGUCUGAGAAUGAAGCGCUCCGUUUUAGAUUCUUGAACACAAUUAACUUAGAGAAUAUCCUACCCCUGAAAUAAAACAUUGAAUCUUAAAGAAACACACACACACACACACACACACACACACACACACACACACACAGAGUUUAGGGAAAUAUUGGAUAAAGAAAAUAGAAAGAAAAAGUAAUCAUUUGAAACAGGAAUGUGAUGGCUAUUCUUGGUUGUCCUCUUGAAACACAGUGGAACCAAUUAAAUACCAGGUGGCUGGGCAAACCUGUGAGAGAUUUUCUUGAUUCGGUUUUUUGAAGUGGGAAGACCCAGCCACCCUACAUGUGGAUCUCACCCUGAUUGUCCUACACAGAAACACAUGGAGGAGGACGACUUGGUUUCUGCUUGCUUGCCUCCGGCCUGCUGGCAAGUUAAGUAUCCUGUUGCUUAGGCAUUCCUUUGCUUGUCUUAGAACCUCCUUCUUACGGAUUCUAGCACAGACUCUCUCUGUAAAUCCUCUGGGACUCCAGCACCAGAUUAGAACUGAUAAAAUUCUGAACUCUGUAACUAUCAACCUCCUGAACUUUAUUUCAUAGAUAACAUUGUUAGACUACCCAGAUCACAGCCUAUACAUCCCUCUAAUAUUCUAACAAUCCCUCUUUAUGUGAUACACACACAUACAUGCAUGUACAUGUACACGCACACAUACACACUCCUGCACACACACACACGCCCACACAUGCACACACAUGCUCACACACACACACCACACACACAUGUAAAUACACACGUGCACACACACAUGUAAACACACACACCACAUACACAUGUACACACACACGUACACACACGUGCACACACACACACAUCUAUUCUAUCCCUUAUGUUCCUUCGGAGAACCCCGAGUAACAUAAAUGCACUUCUAUAAAUAUUGCAAUGGAAAUACAAGGAAAUUAUCACAUAAUCUGCAAAUGUUAGGAAUAUACUAUCAUCUAAUAUUUUAAAUUAGCAUAUAUAAUACAUAAUUAUUAGAUCCAAUAUGUAUAUACAUAGUUUACAAUUCUUACUUUUAGAAUAUUUUUACAUUUAUUCAUGUGUCCCAAUAAUAAACAGUUUCUCAUGAUAAUCUAGUACUGUCAUCAAAUCUCAGGAGUAAGUCUGGCUCGUGUUUUAGAAGGCAAUGCUUAGUGCUCCUGACUCUUAAGUCUCACGAUCAGGGUUUUAAUGGGGGAAUGGACAUCUUUAAAGGGCUUAAAAGAAGACAACGGGGUAAAAAGAGGGUCCGAUAGGGUAUUAUACUCUACUUACAGUGGUCUUCUAUUUGCAGAUCCAAAGAGGAACUGGUGUGUAGGUACAUUUCAGGGAAAGGGAGGCUCUCGCAGAGGCCUGGGCUGUGCUGACCAGGUGCUGGGUCCUUGGCUCCCUUUCAUUAGGGCAAUCUCUUCUGUGAGUUGCUGUUUUUACAACCCAUAGACAUUGAGCACCUCACCAAGGCUGCUUACUGCUGUUCCUUUGGUGAUGUUACCACUGACAACCAUCAUAACAAAGU